AUAGCACCGCCAGGGGAGAGUUUCCACACUUCAACCUCCCCCUUUCUUCUCCUCUGCGUGCUCCACGCACCAAGUGAGAUCGUAAAGACAGGACCGAGGGAUGGAGGGAGGCAGCUUUUGCUAGCUACCAAGAAGCUGAGCUAGGUUCCUCUGGCUUUGCAGACUUCCCUGCUGACAGCCGAAAGGUAUUAGUCAUGUGACUGUUUGGACUGCGCAAUCAUCGGAGACUAAAUGACCUCACCAGAGUAAAUGGCAUAGAACACAACAUACUGAUGGGGUUUCAUGACACAGAGGAUACCGGUCUGUAAUCUACAGUUGUCUUGCCACAGGCUACAGAAAGUUGGGACCACAGGUCUGGUGUGCUGCUCCUGGGGGAGGAUUGACUGAAGCUGUAUUAAGUCUUGUUCGGAAAGUUUCUUUAAAGUGCGGAAAGGAAGAGAUUCCUGAGGGCAUUCAUAAUCAUU